AUUGGUCAGACCAUAGAUAAUAUAGAAGACAGCGCGCUAGCGUAUCUAGUCUCUGUGUAUCUAUGGUCGGCACGUCUGGUAGCAUCUCUGGCUGCUGUUGAUCUUGUUUUUGGAGUAAAACACGGUGGAAGCUGAAUUAGUGAGGAUGACUUCUGCUCCUGUCAUCUCUAAGCUCCUCACACAUCUUUACCUGCACAUGAGGAAAAUCACUGCUGUAGAAUGCAGAUGUUCAGAGGGAGAUGAUGCCACAUCUGGUCCAGCUGAUGGAAGGUCUUGAAGUUCUCUGACUGGCCUCGACUGAAGAUGGUCGUCUCACUGGAUUUAAGGUUCAGAUGCUCAGUAACAAACUCCACCAAUGAGCCAACAGGGAAGCUUUAGGUUUAUUAAAUGUUGCUAUGAAGGUAUCACUGUUUUUCUUUGUGAAUGCAAUGUGCUCCAACUGAAACUUGAAUUAGAACUUAGAAGUAAAUCCUUCCAUCUGAAAGGAUCUAGUUGCAUAACCUCAUAACAUUCAAAUUUUUAUUCCAGUCUUGGUUGGAAAUAGAAUCUCUGUAUUGAUUCAGGUAAAAACUGAACUUCACAGCAUGUUGAAGCAAAACAACCAGAUGAAAACUGUGAUGGUGUUGGAUUGUCAGACCGUAAUGUUGCAGCUCAAAGCAGCUUUUCUAUCUCAGUUCAUUCUGACAUUCAGCUAUGAAUCAACACAGCAGAUGGUGAUCCAUGCUGUGGAAGUCUCACAUCUCCUGAUUUAAUGGAGCUGCUUUGCACUUUUUACACUGUUUAUUCACCAACACUUUAUUUAAUAAAAGUCCCAUCUAGUUUUUAUGAGGACUGUGAUGUUUUAAUUUCUCUGUGAAUAACUGCAGUCUAAUGUAACAGCUGGAGUUGUAACAUCUGUCCUGAUAUUGAUCAUGAAGUAUUGAUCAGAAUACUUAUGGUCAGCAGUCAUUCCUAAAGUUUUACAUUAAAAUCUUUACUUGUGUUGUGGACUUUGGUAAGAAGCAGAAACGUUAGUGUUGCCAUGGAUACAUGAGUGUUAAAUUCUGUCCAUGUUUCCAUUUUGGGAAAUUCAGUCCAGUUCCAGAAUGUGGAGGAAUUUAGUCUCACAAUCACAGACAAAAAAUAUUAUCUGAAAGUCGGGUUAUUGUUGUUUAUCAGCACAAUACAAAAAGAUUAAUGUUAGAAAUAUUCCAGUUAAGACUCUAGAAUAUCAUGAUUUAUGUAAAUUUACCUCAAUAAUAUGAAUGUUCAGGUUAAGAUUGUGCAGUGAUAUUUAUUAUGUAAGUUUAGCUGAUUAAAGUUUAUGACUUUGCACUAAAAUAUUAUUUAAAUUGACAUCAUUAUUAUCAUAUUUAGGGUCAGACCCAGUAUUGAGAUUAAGAAAUCAAAUAUUCUAUAAAAUGUAAAUACACUGAACUCAUUUGGAUAUAUUUAAGUGAGACUCUACAAUAUUAUUUGACACAAAUCUAUCUAAAUCAAAAGUUUAAUAAUUUUCAUGUCAAACAUUUACUGGACUGAUUUAAAUAAUAAAAUCACUCCUUUCUAAUCCUCUGCUGUACGUUCAAACCUGAGGCCUUAAAUAGAAACACACAAGUAUCUGUUUGAAGGAACUUCUGCAGAGUCCUGGUUCCAGAACAUGAUGAUAGAAUUAUAGACAAACUUUAACAAAAGCUGCCUGAGAGUUUACAGGUUUUUAUGUUGGAUUUCUUCAGUAAUUUAAUGAGUUAUCAGCAAAAAUCAAGUGUUCAUUUGAUGAACUUCAUUUCCUAAAACAUCCAGAAUUGGAGCUCAUAUCUUUGGCAGCUGUAAAGUUUCUGCUCCUUCAAAGUUCACAACACAAUGAAUGAAUUCCUAAAACACUCUCAGUGCUGGAGAGCGUUUGUGAUGCUGAAGCAGUGAUCAGUUUUUCUGUUUCUUCUCUGGAGAUGCACAAUGAGGGACGUCUGCAGAGACUGAGAAAGAGUCUCACCACAUCCUGACAUGAGGAAAAAGACUUUAUUGAAGACUACAAUGAGAAAAACUAUCAGACAGCAGACGGCUGCAUUCAAGUCUGUAGCUGCUGAAUUCAUGGAUGAAUCAUCUGGCACUAGAGAGGAAGACCAUCAAACAUCCACGUCAGCUGAUGGAGGUCCAAGAGUCUCACCGAACAACCAACCUACAGAGUGAAGACCUUGAAUCUGAUUGGACGGCCUCCUAUUCAGCCACGUGUGAACAAAUGCCUCUAAGCUGAUUUGUUUUCUAAAAUAAAUCUAGUUUGAGUCCUAA